GGGUAAACAAAACACCUUUAAAAAUUUGGAUAUUUUGAAGUUUAUAAAAGGCCGUUUAAGAAGGAAUUACUCAUUUGGAGUUUAGAGGUGGACUAAGAAAAGGCCUAUGAAAUUUUGGUUUUUAGGAUUAUACCUCUUCCAUGUUAGCCCCGAAAUAGUUAAUCACAAAAGAAUUUAUUUUUCGACAAAAACUGGAUACACUAUUCCGAAGAUUUACGAUUCAACUUUUCCUGAUAAUAAAGUUUGCCGAGCUGUUCACAUCCAAGGGGUUGUGCGUCAUGGAAUUAGAAAUCCGGGAUUUUCAGAUAUUAAAAACAUCAAUAAAUUAUUGC